rnacentral:rRNA from 1 species
UACGUAGGGUGCAAGCGUUGUCCGGAAUUAUUGGGCGUAAAGAGUUCGUAGGCGGUUUGUCGCGUCCGUUGUGAAAACCUGCGGCUCAACCGUGUGGUCUGCAGUCGAUACGGGCAGGCUGGAGUUCGGUAGGGGAGACUGGAAUUCCUGGUGUAGCGGUGAAAUGCGCAGAUAUCAGGAGGAACACCGGUGGCGAAGGCGGGUCUCUGGGCCGAUACUGACGCUGAGGAGCGAAAGCGUGGGGAGCGAACAGG